UACGGAGGGUGCAAGCGUUGUCCGGAUUUAUUGGGUUUAAAGGGUGCGUAGGCGGCCUUUUAAGUCAGGGGUGAAAUCCCGGGGCUCAACCCCGGAACUGCCCUUGAUACUGGGAGGCUUGAGUUCGGUAGAGGCGGGCGGAACUGGCGGUGUAGCGGUGAAAUGCAUAGAUACCGCCAAGAACCCCGAUUGCGAAGGCAGCUCGCUGUGCCGAAACUGACGCUGAGGCACGAAAGCGUGGGGAGCGAACAGG
rnacentral:misc_RNA from 1 species